GUCCCGGUAGUCCAGUGGUCAGGAUAGCUCAGCAGUCUCUCGACUCUUUAUCACUGAAUGAUAAGGGGGACGUAGCUGCUGCGCGGGCCUGGGUUCGAUUCCCAGCUGGGACA